UUACUGGAUGACUGGUUGAUUUCACUUGGCUCGGGCAUGUUUGGUUUCUGAAACUUGGAACCUCGGCAAAAAGAAACUAGUAUUUGAGGACAAAACUAUAUACAAGUUUAUCAAUUAACGACAUGUAAACCCAAGUAAAUAUAAUAGGGGAUGAUGCUUUGCAAAUCUUAAAUUCUUUUUAAUUUUCUCUUUUAAAGUUAUGUUUUCUUGGUCCUGCAACCUCAAGGCUGAGCCAUGAGACUUAUUGCCUGGGGAAGGAGAUGGUGGGAAAAUAAGUAAUUGGUCACCUGUGGAUCUCAAAGCAGUGAGGACAGCAUGGCUCGUGGUGCAGGUAAUGUGAGAAGUCUGCCUCUCCAGCUGGAGCCAAGCAGUUGUGAGAGGGAGAGAACAAGAGGCUGGAGAGGCCGGCCUAGAGAUGAGUGUCCUCAGUAGUCUUUCAGGCCACACUUCGGAAUGGGGCCAGCAUGUUUCCAGUCUCUGCAGCGCAAGGGUUUGUGUUUGUCAAAUUAGAAGAUGAAGAAAGUCAUCACCACUGAUGGGCUUUUUAAACCCUGAAUGACUGACAAGAAGAGAAUGAAAAAAUACUGUGUAAAAUAAACUGUGUCAUGAAUGCAUAAUUUUGAUCCAGUUCAUUAAAAGCAUGAAACUGUUGGACGUCAGAUUUUGUGAAACAUAUAUACAAUGGUAUUGCUGUUAUGAAAGCAGGUUCCUCAUUGUGGAAUGCCCGACUAGCCUGCCUUUGAGCUGAUGCAGGAUGGUUUGUUAUUUAUAGUGUUGAAGAAAUUGGGAGAACAGUACUCAGCCCAUCUUCCACUGUGAGCAGCCUGCAGCUUACAUUAAGCUGAUGGGAAAUACCUGAAUCAGAAGGCACUGUGUGAAGUUCAAUUGAUGUGUUGCAUUUACAACAACUAGGUAAUUCACACUUUUAAGCGAUACUUAACUCCUGAAAAUGUGCCUUGAAAAGCCCAAAGAGGGGGGAUCAACUUGCCUAAUUAAAAAUAAGCAUAAGCAAUUCGUGAUAGGCACGUUGGUUACAGGAAGCAUAAGAGGAGAGAAGUACCAUGAAGUGGAUACAAUCUUGGUGAAUGUAAACUAAGCCCACCUAAAGGCGAUGGGACCAGUUUCCGGGGGCAAUAGGGUGGUGAUGCGGUAAAUUUGAGGUUAACUUCCAGGACAUGGGACACCUCAGCCACUUACUAGCUGGGUGACUUUGGGCAGUCCCUUAACUUUGUGCCUCAGUGUCGUCGUCCAUAAAAUGAUGGUGGUGGUCGAACUGUUAUGAAAAUUAAAUUGCUUAUUGUAACACACUCCGAAUAGUGUCUGUGGGUGGUACAUGCUGGGUAGGUGUUUGCUGUUGUUGUUCAAGGGCUCCUGUGGACCCAAACCCACAACUGCUUUCCAAAUUUGGCCGUUGGUCUUGCCAUGAAGAGGAAUGAAGAAUCGUGAAGCACUUUUGCAGCAACUUUGAUUGGAAAAUGGAACAUGCACAGGAGCAGAGGAAGUAUGCCUUGUGUCCCUUCUUCCAUGCCACCCCAUUUGUGCAUAAUGUUUAUGCUGCCCAUGAACGUGGAAUUCAGGUGGACCCAUGUUGUGUGGGAGUUCAGAGGCUCAGAGCAAAAGUGAGUAUAAGGUCAUGAUCUCACGGUCUGUGAGCUCGAGCCCUGCAUCCGGCUCUGUGCUGUCAGAGCAGAGCCUGCUUGGGAUUCUCUCUCUUCCUCCCUCUCUGACCUUCCCUCUC